AGAAUCAACGCUGGCGGCGUGCCUAACACAUGCAAGUCGAACGCGAAAGCCCCGCAAGGGGUCAGUAGAGUGGCAAACGGGUGAGUAACACGUGGGUGACCUGCCUUCGAGUGGGGGAUAACGUCCCGAAAGGGACGCUAAUACCGCAUGACAUCCUGCCUUUGGAAAGGUGGAGAUCAAAGCUGGGGAUCGCAAGACCUGGCGCUUGAAGAGGGGCCCGCGCCUGAUUAGCUAGUUGGUAGGGUAACGGCCUACCAAGGCGACGAUCAGUA
rnacentral:rRNA from 1 species